rnacentral:rRNA from 1 species
GACGAACGCUGGCGGCGUGCUUAACACAUGCAAGUCGAACGAAGAGCGAUGGAAGCUUGCUUCUAUCAAUCUUAGUGGCGAACGGGUGAGUAACGCGUAAUCAACCUGCCCUUCAGAGGGGGACAACAGUUGGAAACGACUGCUAAUACCGCAUACGAUCUAAUCUCGGCAUCGAGGAAAGAUGAAAGGUGGCCUCUAUUUAUAAGCUAUCACUGAAGGAGGGGAUUGCGUCUGAUUAGCUAGUUGGAGGGGUAACGGCCCACCAAGGCGAUGAUCAGUAGCCGGUCUGAGAGGAUGAACGGCCACAUUGGGACUGAGACACGGCCCAGACUCCUACGGGAGGCAGCAGUGGGGAAUCUUCCGCAAUGGACGAAAGUCUGACGGAGCAACGCCGCGUGAGUGAUGACGGCCUUCGGGUUGUAAAGCUCUGUUAAUCGGGACGAAAGGCCUUCUUGCGAACAGUUAGAAGGAUUGACGGUACCGGAAUAGAAAGCCACGGCUAACCACGUG